rnacentral:misc_RNA from 1 species
GAUGAAGAACGCAGCGAAAUGCGAUAAGUAAUGCGAAUUGCAGAAUUUCCGUGAGUCAUCGAAUCUUUGAACGCACAUUGCGCCCCUUGGUAUUCCAUGGGGCAUGCCUGUUCGAGCGUCAUUUGUACCUUCAAGCUCUGCUUGGUGUUGGGUGUUUGUCUCGCCUCUGCGUGUAGACUCGCCUCAAAAUAAUUGGCAGCCGGCGUAUUGAUUUCGGAGCGCAGUACAUCUCGCGCUUUGCACUCAUAACGACGACGUCCAAAAGUACAUUUUUACACUCUUGACCUCGGAUCAGGUAGGGAUACCCGCUGAACUUAAGCAUAUCAAUAAGCGGAGGA